CCAGAACUCCAUCGCUGUGUCUGUGUGCACAGAGCCAUGGCUUGCCUGCUCCUUCAGAGAGUCCAUCAUAGUCUCUCACUAGUCUUGAACUCUCCACGUAGACCAGGCUAGCUGUGCAGAGAUCCCCAGGAACCCAUCUGCUUCUGUGUCUCCUGUACUACUUGACUGACUGACCUAUCUCCCGAGGCCACACUGGUAUAUUUGUAAAGUGUGCUGAAUGGGAGUGGGCCCGGGUACUCAAGGCUCUUGUCCCUUUCCCUACACAGCUUUCACUGGGACUUGUCCCACAUGGGACCAAAAAAACCAAACCAAACCAAA